CCCUUAGAUGUUCUGGGCCGCACGCGCGCUACAAUGACAGAAUCAGCAAGUAUACCUUUGUCGACAGACAUGGGAAAUCUUAGAGUUUUUGUCGUGAUGGGGAUAGACCCUUGUAAUUGUUGGUCUCCAACGAGGAAUUCCUAGUAAACGCAAGUCAUUAACUUGCAUUGAUUACGUCCCUGCCCUUUGUACACACCGCCCGUCGCUCCUACCGAUUGAGUGGUCCGGUGAGGCUUUGGGAUCUGAGCGGAAAGAGCGUUUCGCUGUUUCUGCUCGGAAAACUCAGUCGAACCUUAUCAUUUAGAGGAAGGAGAAGUCGUAACA
rnacentral:rRNA from 1 species